rnacentral:misc_RNA from 1 species
AACGUAGGUACCGAGCGUUAUCCGGAUUUACUGGGCGUAAAGCGCGUUCAGGCGGCUCGACAAGUCGGGCAUGAAAUCUCUCGGCUCAACCGGGAGGGGUUGUCCGAUACUGCCGAGCUUGAGGGCAGUAGAGGGGGGUGGAAUUCCGGGUGUAGUGGUGAAAUGCGUAGAGAUCCGGAGGAACACCAGUGGCGAAGGCGGCCCCCUGGACUGCACCUGACGCUGCCACGCGAAAGCUAGGGGAGCGAACGGG